rnacentral:rRNA from 1 species
GACGAACGCUGGCGGCGUGCUUAACACAUGCAAGUCGAACGAUGAAACCGCUUCGGUGGUGGAUUAGUGGCGAACGGGUGAGUAACACGUGGGCAAUCUGCCCUUCACUCUGGGACAAGCCCUGGAAACGGGGUCUAAUACCGGAUAACACUCUGUCCCGCAUGGGACGGGGUUGAAAGCUCCGGCGGUGAAGGAUGAGCCCGCGGCCUAUCAGCUUGUUGGUGGGGUAAUGGCCUACCAAGGCGACGACGGGUAGCCGGCCUGAGAGGGCGACCGGCCACACUGGGACUGAGACACGGCCCAGACUCCUACGGGAGGCAGCAGUGGGGAAUAUUGCACAAUGGGCGAAAGCCUGAUGCAGCGACGCCGCGUGAGGGAUGACGGCCUUCGGGUUGUAAACCUCUUUCAGCAGGGAAGAAGCGAAAGUGACGGUACCUGCAGAAGAAGCGCCGGCUAACUACGUGCCAGCAGCCGCCGUAA